UCAGCCGAGGAGGGGAGAUGGGCUGGGUGGCUCUGGGGCUUGUUGUGUGGGAAGCACGGGCCCCAGAAUCCCAGCCCUGAUUCCCAGCAGGAGGCAUCGCCCUUCCCAGUCACUGAGGAACUUCCAGCCUCCCCAGGGCAGAAGGUGGAGGAACCCUGUCCAAGCACCAGCAGCUCGGCCCGCUCCCCAUGGGACAGCAGCAGUGCCGGGGACUGAGGCAGCAGCCAGGCCGAGGUGUCCCGCUGCUUUGUUCCAGGACGAGGCCCAGCAGCUCAUGUUUCUGCAUGCCAUCCACACCGCGUGAUUCGCUACAUGGAAGAGAGCACAGGACACAUUGGAGUCGCACUGCUGCAAGGCGGCUGUGGUGGAGAGGAUUGUGGCUCCUGAGGA